AGUGAACGCUGGCGGUAGGCCUAACACAUGCAAGUCGAACGGCAGCACAGUAAGAGCUGGCUCUUACGGGUGGCGAGUGGCGGACGGGUGAGGAAUACAUCGGAAUCUACUUUUUCGUGGGGGAUAACGUAGGGAAACUUACGCUAAUACCGCAUACGACCUACGGGUGAAAGCAGGGGAUCUUCGGACCUUGCGCGAUUGAAUGAGCCGAUGUCGGAUUAGCUAGUUGGCGGGGUAAAGGCCCACCAAGGCGACGAUCCGUAGCUGGUCUGAGAGGAUGAUCAGCCACACUGGAACUGAGACACGGUCCAGACUCCUACGGGAGGCAGCAGUGGGGAAUAUUGGACAAUGGGCGCAAGCCUGAUCCAGCCAUACCGCGUGGGUGAAGAAGGCCUUCGGGUUGUAAAGCCCUUUUGUUGGGAAAGAAAAGCAGCAGGUUAAUACCCCGCUGUUCUGACGGUACCCAAAGAAUAAGCACCGGCUAACUUCGUG
rnacentral:rRNA from 1 species